rnacentral:rRNA from 1 species
CCUACGGGCGGCAGCAGUGGGGAAUAUUGGACAAUGGGGGCAACCCUGAUCCAGCCAUGCCGCGUGUGUGAAGAAGGCCCUCGGGUUGUAAAGCACUUUCAGUGAGGAAGAACGCCUGGUGGUUAAUACCCAUCAGGAAAGACAUCACUCACAGAAGAAGCACCGGCUAACUCCGUGCCAGCAGCCGCGGUAAUACGUAGGGUGCGAGCGUUAAUCGGAAUUACUGGGCGUAAAGCGCGCGUAGGUGGCUUGAUAAGCCGGUUGUGAAAGCCCCGGGCUCAACCUGGGAACGGCAUCCGGAACUGUCAAGCUAGAGUGCAGGAGAGGAAGGUAGAAUUCCCGGUGUAGCGGUGAAAUGCGUAGAGAUCGGGAGGAAUACCAGUGGCGAAGGCGGCCUUCUGGACUGACACUGACACUGAGGUGCGAAAGCGUGGGUAGCAAACAGGAUUAGAUACCCCUGUAGUC